GGUUGUGGCUCAGUGGAAGAGCACUUGCCUAGCAUGUGUGAGACCCUAGGUUCGAUCUUCAGCACCA
rnacentral:tRNA from 1 species